rnacentral:misc_RNA from 1 species
AAGUCGUAACAAGGUAACCGUAGGUGAACCUGCGGUUGGAUCAUUAAAUUGAAAAAGAGAGAGAAGAAAUUCUCUUGAUUUUUAAACAUUUAGAGAUAAUUGAAUGUUUUUUUUGUGGAGAGAAAAGAGAUUCUUUUUUUUUCCACAAAUUUAAAUAAACCAUUUUUAUUAUUAUUAUUAUAAAAUAAAAUAAAAACAACUUUUGACAACGGAUCUCUUGGCUCUCGUA